AUUGAACGCUGGCGGCAUGCUUUACACAUGCAAGUCGAACGGUAACAGCACUUCGGUGGCUGACGAGUGGCGAACGGGUGAGUAAUACAGCGGAACGUGCCUAGUAGUGGGGGAUAACUACUCGAAAGAGUAGCUAAUACCGCAUGAGAUCUAAGGAUGAAAGCAGGGGACCUUCGGGCCUUGCGCUACUAGAGCGGCUGAUGGCAGAUUAGGUAGUUGGUGGGAUAAAAGCUUACCAAGCCGACGAUCUGUAGCUGGUCUGAGAGGACGACCAGCCACACUGGGACUGAGACACGGCCCAGACUCCUACGGGAGGCAGCAGUGGGGAAUUUUGGACAAUGGGCGCAAGCCUGAUCCAGCAAUGCCGCGUGCAGGAUGAAGGCCUUCGGGUUGUAAACUGCUUUUGUACGGAACGAAAAGCCCUCUUCUAAUACAGGAGGGUCAUGACGGUACCGUAAGAAUAAGCACCGGCUAACUACGUG
rnacentral:rRNA from 1 species